UUUUUAUGAAUUUCAGCACAACUUUGUCCGAAUUUGAAAUGAAAACUGGUAUUGGUUGGUACAGAAUUGGUCUUAGGUGUAAACACGAAGGUUGUAGGUAUAAAUGUUAGCUUUCUAAUGCCGUUGGUUUGACUUCAAAAGGAUUUAUAGAACUUGAGUUAUGGUCAAAUUACUGCACGUAGGUCUUAGUGAAUUUUUAUGAAUUUCAGCACAACUUUGUC
rnacentral:lncRNA from 1 species